ACGGGAGGCAGCAGUGAGGAAUAUUGGUCAAUGGGCGGAAGCCUGAACCAGCCAAGUCGCGUGAAGGAUGAAGGUAUUAUGUAUUGUAAACUUCUUUAGCAGUGGAGUAAUAAGGGAGUCGUGACUCCUGAUGCAAGUACACUGAAAAUAAGGAUCGGCUAACCCCGUGCCAGCAGCCGCGGUAAUACGGAAGAUCCGAGCGUUAUCCGGAUUUAUUGGGUUUAAAGGGAGCGUAGGCGGGCGUUUAAGUCAGUGGUCAAAGCGUGUGGCUCAACCAUACCACGCCAUUGAUACUGGAUGCCUUGAGUGCACAUAAGGAUGGUGGAAUUCAUGGUGUAGCGGUGAAAUGCUUAGAUAUCAUGAAGAACUCCGAUUGCGAAGGCAGCUGUCCGGGGUGUAACUGACGCUAAUGCUCGAAAGUGCGGGUAUCAAACAGGAUUAGAUACCCUGGUA
rnacentral:rRNA from 1 species